rnacentral:lncRNA from 1 species
UAAAUAAAAAUAAAUUAUAUAUAUAGCUGAAAUCCGUAUUUAACGUAUGGGGUGCAGAAAGAAAAAAGUACGGGUGCAGGAAGAAACUGCCCCAUAUUGUAUUCUGCAGCCCACCUUCACCUCAAUUAAAAAUAAAUUAAAUUUGGAACCCUUCUGCCCCCAAUAAACAAGAACAAAACCCUAUAACCUAAAUCACAAAGGGAACCCUAAUUCCACACCACCGAACGGAACCACCGAACGGCCACCGUCGACCACCGCACGAACAGCCACCACCACGCGUCUGCCCAGUCGCCGCCACCGUGCCACCUGCUCCGCUCGAUUGCCACCACCGUCGCACUCGUUCAAGACGAACGCACGAACAACCACCACCGUCGACCAUCGCACGAACAACCACCACCGUGCGACGCUCCACCCCAUUUCUAAGAAAGGUUUGAGUGUAAGUAACAGUUUGGAGCAGGUUACAUAUCCUUCCUUCUUCUUGUCUUUGAACUGGACCAAACAAAGCAUUAUUAGUUUGGACUAUUUUUGAGUUUAGAACUGCCAUCACCUUUAACAGUACAGUGAAGGGGGAAGAAUUGCCAUCAACCUAGAUACUAAACAUACUAAUGAAAGGUGACUCUAGGGGUCCUAUUCUUGCAUACAUGAACAGCCAGUAAAUGUGUCUGGUCUUGAUGAAAUUGGACCCCAGUAUCUGCAAGAGGUGCUGGAGGUCGCCCACCGGGCAUCUGUAGGAAUUUACUUGCUUUUUUUUCCUAUCCAUCUGUGCUUCAAACACACAACUGUUGACAUAAAGAAAAUAAGUGAAUGCCUUCAUGAUUUCUAUUCAAUAAGAUUUUCAACAUUACUCUUCCAAAAUCAGUUAUUUUAAGAAAUCUUUUUCACCCAGUCAUAUUCCUUUUACAAUUCCUAUUAAUAAAAAAUGAAAAAAAAAAUAGCAAAUGACUGCAGUGGAAUCUGCUCCAGAUGAUACAAAGAACAUUGAGAACGUGAGAAAAGGCAAGACCAGUGAUUCUAAUUUGAUGAACUUUUAGCUUGGUUUUAACCUAGAUGGAAACAAAUUAAACAAGAAAAAAGGUAAAUGCCAUUUUUUUUAAAAAUACCAACAGUGCAUGAAACUAAAACUGAUAUCUUUAUGCAGAGUGAGUGGGAGGAGGGAGGAGAGGCUAAUAUCAAUUUUUAAAAUUCCCUAACUUAUGAAACUUUACUGACAGCUCUAAUCUUGAUCAUGAAUAGAAUAGUACCUCAUUGACUCGAACAUUAUAGAUUUGUAUGGAAGAGUCAUCCAUGCCAAUGGCAAUAAUAUUGUUGUCUUGAGGAUGAAGUGCAAGAAAUGUAGCAGCUGGUGGAGGCGCCAUGAAAGUUGUCACUGUUUGCAGUUAAUAUUCACCAAAAUUAAUACCCGCGCAAUAUACAAUUGCAACAAAAAGUGAAAGAAAGAGGUCAUGGAAUGCUAAAAUAAACCAUUAAAGGGAUGCUUAGCAAAAUACUUGGUAUAGAUUAUAGUCUGUCUAUUUUGGUAGUACUUCUAAAAGGUCAAAAAGGAUAGGAAGUAUCAUAAGCACCAUAUGUUGUCUCUCAAAACAACGAUAUUAGGACACACUUAUUGAUAUCAAAAUUAACCACUUUCCUUGAUUAUGGUGAAUUAGGUAAUUGAAUCUUAUAAAUAAGAGAGUGAAGGAAGUAGAAUAUAAGAACGUGCAAAAUGAAAGCUACAUACCUUAAAGGUCAUCAUAUUGAAUAGGGAAAUUUUCCCCAGAACAUAUGAGUCAUUCUUUGACAGUGCAAAACAUGACACAACAUCCUCUAGGUUAAUAUCACUUAUAUCAUUAGUCAUCAACAUUCCACUAGAUGGUUGCCAUAGUUGUGGUAGAAGGUUUGGAGUUGCCUAAAUAAGAAAUGCUUGUUUUAACAAUCUUAUGGACACUAACACAUUGAAAUGUACUCCCAAACAAGUAUAGUAGAUGCUCAUUACUUUUGCCGAAGGAUUCCGCUCAUUUCUCUGCCAUUUUCAAAGCUUGUGAUCAUCAUUUGUUGCCAAAGCAACCCCCUGAUUUGUAUAAAUUAACCUAGAAACCUGAAACAAUAUUUAAAAAUAUUAAAUGUAUAACCAGUUGAACGACUAUUGUAAACUUGUAAUUAGAAGUAUACAACCUAAAAAAAAAAAAAGAGGGGAAUAGCCCACCAAAACUUUGAACACAACAUGCAAGCAGAAAAGCUAUAUGGGCAAAAUAUUGAAUAAUAUAUUUGUUUUGCUGAUAUAUUUGCGAUUCAAUAAGGAAGUAGAGGAUGAAUGCAUUGGUGAGAAUACAAUACAAGUUUAUGCAUUGCCUUCACAUGCCCCAAAAAAGACUGAAUAUAUACAAUUCUAGUAUCUAACAAUACCUUCAUUGAUGAUAGACUACCAGGAAGGAAGUUUCAGGGAGCGACAUUGUCAUGGUUCAUUAAACCCUAAACCCUAAACCCUAAACCCUAAACCCUAAACCAUAUCCACGACUUCAUCAACAAUUCUGGAUUUCUCAUCCGCUAAACUUCGUGUAUCAUUAUUCUACAAAGCAAAAUAGAAUAAUACAAUUAAAACAACCAGAGAAAUAGAAUUCUCGUUCAUUAACCGACAUAACAAUAAUUAAACUAGUUCAUGCAUCAAACAGAGCAACUGAAAAUAUAAGAGGAAAACAAUUAUCUCCAAACCUGGUUCUAUCAACACUAUAUGCCUAUUAAAAAGAAUUUCCUAACAUCCAAUAGUGUAAAAAGAAUUCAUGAAGCAUAUAUAGGAAGAAACAUUUUCAAGACUGCUUCGGGUCAUAAACAAAAUAAACUAAAAUGAAAAUUGUUCCUGCUAGGAAGAUGGGACAUAGAGAACUAUUAAAGUCUAUUAAAGUCUUCGUCUUCUUCCUUCGGUCGGGCAGGUUGUUGGGUGUUUGACUGGGGUCCUCGUCAUCUUCGUGCUUCUCCUUCGGCUCUCGGUCUCGGGUGAACACCAGAUGGGGGUACCUGCGGAAGGUACUCCGACGCUCAAGUCAGUAAAGCGGGUAAUCGGUAUUCAGGUAGGUGCACAGUAAUAAAUGACUUACCUUUCUCCUUGGAAUGUGUGCUAUUUAUAUUAUUUUAAUGGGCUUACCUUAUUGGGCCUGAUUAGUGGAAUGGAUCACACUUAUGGAUGUAUUACCUAAUCCUUAAUGACAGAUUAACUUCACUGACCUUGGUUUGAGCGUUAAUGGAUUUAUGUGUCGGUCGGGCGGGCCGUCCGUGGUGGUUUCCCUUGUCUCGGUCGGGUUCCCUUGUCUCGACCAAGUUUCCCUAGUCUCGGCCAGGUUUCCCUUGUCUCGGCCAGGUUCCCUGGUCUCGACCAGAAUUCUCUUGUCUCGGCCAGGUUCCCUGGUCUCGACCAGAAUUCCCUUGUCUCGGUCAGGUAAACCACAUCUCGGUCAGGGAGACCGAAUCUCGGUCUCGCCCAUACCGGUACAGUUGCCCCCCAAGCUCGAGGAUGGAUACAUCCGAUGAGUCUUGAAUGGUAGGUGUCGGUCGGCCGACUUGGUCAAGUGGAUUGGAACACAUCAGCGUGUGUCUCGGUCGGCCAUACCAAUACACUUGCCCCCCAGGCUUGAGGUCGACUGGGCUGGCCGAGGCUAAGGAGGGCGAGUGCGUUGUAGUUAAUCAAGAGUAGGUUAGCCUUUGGUCGGGAUGUGUCCUUCUCUUGUUUUUAUAUCUUUCUCUCUCCUCUGAGGCUGGGGUGUGACCUCUCCCUUUUGCAAUUAUCAAUGUAUCGCCCUUCCUUUUUGUAUCUAAGAAGAAUUUUCACAAGUUAAAAUGUUGAUCAUUAAUUGUUUGGGCGGUCGGUCAUUAAUUGUGAUUGCUUUAAAUCGAACAAGUUGAAUGGUCGAUCGACCAUUAACUGUGAUUGCUUUAAAUCGAACAAGUUGAAUGGUCGGUCGGCAAUUAAUUGUGAUUGCUUUAAAUCGAACAAGUUGAAUGGUCGGUCGACCAUUAACUGUGAUUGCUUUAAAUCGAACAAGUUGAAUGGUCGGUCGACCAUUAUCUGUGAUUGCUUUAAAUCGAACAAGUUGAAUGGUCGGUCGGCCAUUAAUUGUGAUUGCUUUAUCAAACAAGUUGAAUGGUCGGUCGACCAUUAACUGUGAUUGCUUUAAAUCGAACAAGUUGAAUGGUCGGUCGGUUAUUAAUUGUGAUUACUUUAAAUCGAACAAGUUGAAUGGUCGGUCGGCCAUUAACUGUGAUUGCUUUAAAUCGAACAAGUUGAAUGGUCGGUCGGCCAUUAAUUGUGAUUGCUUUAAAUAGAACAAGUUGAAUGGUCGGUCGAUCAUUAACUGUGAUUGCUUUAAAUCGAACAAGUUGAAUGGUCGAUCGGCUAUUAAUUGUGAUUGCUUUAAAUCGAACAAGUUGAAUGGUUUGUCGGACAUUAACUGUGAUUGCUUUAAAUCGAACGAGUUGAAUGGUCGGUCGACCAUUAAGUGUGAUUGCUUUAAAUCGAACAAGUUGAAUGGCCGGUCGGCCAUUAACUGUGUGAGUCUACUUGUGCCAAGUUAUAAGUUUAACUUGGGUGUGUCGGUCGGUCUCGGCAAGGUAUGCCGGUUAAGGCUUCAUCCAGACCGAACCGAGUGAGAGGUGUUGGCAGGGUAUGUCGUUUAAGGCUUUGUCCAGACCAAACCUAGUUGAUUGGUCUCGGCAGGGUAUGCCGGUUAAGGCUUCAUCCAUACCAAACCUAGUUGAUCGGUCUCGGCAGGAUAUGUCGGUUAAGGCUUCAUCUAGACCGAGCCGAGUGAGAGGUGUUGGCAGGGUAUGCCAUUUAGGAUGAGGUCGAACAUUUGCCUUCGUAUGGUGGGCUCACCCACCUCGACCGGGAUCAUGUCCUUGGCCCCAUAUGUCAGACUGUAGGGUUUCUCCUACAUGGUAGUCUUAGGGGUGCAUCUGUAUGCCCAGAGAACUUCUAUCUGCUUCUCGGUCCAUCGGCCUUUUGCCUUGCCCAGGUGCUUUUUCAGCUCAUUGAGUAUGACCUUGUUGGCGGUAAUCCACCCCUUUGAAGUCCUCGUCCGUGAAGAUGAUGGGUGGCAUCCUCGAUCAGAAUGUCAUUGCGUUCACUUGGUGCACCGCCCGCAGGUGUUACUUCCGGGCGCUGUUGGUGCUCCCUCCCGGGCGAAGCCGCUGGCUAUGGUGUUGAUAACCUCUCGGUUACCUCUUCUGUCGGCCUCCCUGGGAGGGUCAUCCUUGCGGGGAUGAUCGUCUCUCCUAGGCUGUCGGUUGUCUCUGUGAUCUCGGUCAUUUUAGGCUGUCGGUCUCUGUGAUCUCGGUCAUUUCGACCGCGUUGGGGUGACCUUGUUCGCCUAGCGGGUUCCACUCGGUGGGGUGGGUCUCGGCCGUUCCUGACGAAUCAACGGAGGUGCCCAGCCUGGAUAAGUUCCUCGAUCUUAUCCUUCAGAGUCUGACACUCCUCGAUUGAGAGCCCGCUGUUUUGAUGGUACCGACACUACUUCCUUCGGUCGACAUUGUUAGGGCUGGCCACUUUCCUUGGAGGAGGGAUCAACUCAGCGUUGAGAGCCUCGUCCAGCAUCCUUCCCCUCUCAGCCAUCAGGGGUGUGUAUCUCGAGAACCGGAUUGUUCGGUCCCGGUUGUCUCUGCGUCGGUCAUUUCUCCUCCUUAUUCUUCUCUCCACUGGCCUUGGCACGGGCCUGGUUACGAAACUCUCUGAGUUUUUCCAGCUGCAUAUACUUAGCAGUUCUCUUCCUCAGCUCGUCCAGGUUGUCGACCAGCUGCAUGCAUAGGUUGUCAGCAAAGGGCCCUGGGCUGUCGGCAUGUUAUGCAUGACAACGUCCGGGCUCAGAUUCCGGAUGCUCAUUGCCACCUUGCUGAACCUAUUAACAAAGGUUCUCAGGGACUCUCCCUUAUCCAGAUGGAUGCCCAUCAGGGCGAUGAAACUUAGGUGGUGCGGUCGGCUGGUGGCGAACUGGGUCUCAAACUUCGCCACAGUGUGGCAAAGCUGUCAAUGGAGUUGGGUGAGAGUUUGGUGAACAGCUGAGGGUUGCUCCCUUCAGCGAUGUAAGAAACAUUCGACACAACACUGCGUCAUCCGAGGAGUAGAGGCUCAUAUGGGUGGUGUAAGCGUCCAUAUGCUCAUCGGGAUCGGUCGAUCCGUCGUAUCGGUCUCGAUUGAAACCCUUCCACUUGUCAGGCAGUGGGACUUCAAUACUUCUAGUUAAGACCAUCUACUUUCUUUCUUCAGCUAGUUUCUCCCGGCCCCACGGGGGGCGCCAAUUGAUCCUGCUAUGGAGAUGGCACAUAGAGAACUAUUGAAGUCUUCGUUUUCCUCCUUCGGUCGGGCAGGUUGCUGGGUGCUUGACUGGGGUCCUCCUCGUCUUUGUGCUUCUCCUUCGGCUCUCGGUCUCGGGUGAACACCGGAUGGGGGGUACCUGCGGAAGGCACUCCGACGCUCAAGUCAGUAAAGCGGGUGAUCGGUAUUCAAGUAGGUGCACAGUAAUAAAUGACGUACCUUUCUCCUUGGAAUGUGUGCUAUUGAUAUUAUUUUAAUGAGCUUACCUUAUUGGGCCUGAUUAGUGGAAUGGAUCACACUUAUGGAUGUAUUACAUAAUCCUUAAUGACAUAUUAGCUUCACUGACCUUGGUUUGAGCGUUAAUGGAUUUAUGUGUCGGUCGGCCGGACCGUCCGUGGUAGUUUCCCUUGUCUCGGCCGAGUUUCCUUGUCUCGACCAGGUUUCCCUAGUCUUGGCCAGAAUUCCCUUGUCUCGGUCAGGUAAAUCGCAUAUCGGUCAGGGAGACCGAAUCUCGGUCUCUCCCAUACCGGUACAAAAAUGCCUUACUGAAAUCAAUUAAAGCCAAAACAAGCUACCUUGCUGAAAUGCAAAUGCCACAUAACUCUUCCCUCCUUCCACUACCUCCAGCGCCACCACAUGAAAUAGGGUUGGGUAGACUGAAAUGAAAUAGCGCCACCACAUUACUCAAGCAGAUCAGAAUAAUAAUGAGCACAAAACUUAACAAAUCCUUGUGUGGAGGCGCUGAUAGCGGUGAUUUCGGAUAAUAAUUGCGAGACAACUAGUAGCAAAGGAGUGAGGAUAAGAAUCACCUCUUAUUCAACUGACUUAAGCACAAAGGAUUAAGGAUAAGAAUCACGAGUAGAACUUCGUGAGGAGGGCUUCGUUAGCGUUUAAGUGUUUAGGCAGAGAGAGGUUUGAGUGUUUUGGCAGAAAGACAAGGAAGAGAGAGGGAAAAGUCACGAUUUUCAAGAGUGAAUAGUGAAAACAAAUUUUCAAAAAUAAUUUGAAAUAAAGAGGAAUGGUGUAUGGAGGGAAGGAAAACAAAAGUUUUUAUUUUGAAGGAUAAUUGUGACAGUUCAAAAUGACAUAUUCUGAAAGAUAAUUGUGUCGGUUAGUCAAAUGUCGUAUUAUAUGAAAAUUUGUGACAGUUAUUAAUAGCCGUCAUAUUAAAACUGUCACUUUAUACACGAUUUUUUUUUAGUGAUUACUUAUGAAUAUUCUAUAUUAUAUUAUAUAUGAAUAAUUUUUUAAGAUUUUAUAAAUAUUUUUCUAUUAUAUUUUUUUAGUCUUAUGAAUAUUUUGCUUUGAUAUUAUAUAUGAAUAUUUUUCUAUUAUAUUACUACACACCAAUAUAUUUUUUUCGAUCUUACUAAUUUUUCUACAUUAUAUUAUAGAUAAAUAUUUUUAUAUUAUAUAACAUGAAUAUUUGUUUUUAUCUUAUGAUAUAUAUUUUGGUUAACUUUUUUAUUAUAAUUUUCAAGAAUCAUCUUAUUAGAAUUUCAUGGCAUCUCAUCGCCUUUCCGCCAAUAUGUUUUUAUUGUGGCUCUAAGAGAAACAUGUUACUAAAAAUGUAUGGGAAGGUACAAGAAAGUUGUGAAAUAUAAACUAAUUUUAGAAACCAAAAUAAUUAGUUACUAUAUUGACUAAAUUAAAGACCAUUUUAUAAACUAAAAAAAAAAUUAUUGGUAUAUAAAGUAGUUUCUAUUAUUAAUAAUAAUUUAUAAAGUAGUUUCUAAAUUGGUAUCUAACCUGUUGAUGGAGAGGUUGUCACCGAGAUUACUAGUGGUGAUUUAGUAUCUUUGUGUGAGAAGUUGCUCGGAUUUAUACCACCCGCUACAGCAUGAAAGGACAUGCAAUUAAUUUGUCUUGGCUUAAAAUGCAACCAACGAUGUUAUUGCUCAACAUGCUCGAGUUCACAUAUUAACACUUAUUAGAAGCCUAUUGAUGCCUGAUUCUUCAGGUAGUAAGGUACAUUUAAUGUAUCUAUUAUUGUUGGUUGACUUGAACAAUGUCAGGAAUUAUAGUUGGGGGUCAGUUGUAUUAGCUUCUCUGUACCGUACGCUCGAUCACGGAAUAGACUUUAAUCAAGAUAAUAUUGGAGUUUGCAUGCUGCUUUUACAAUGUUGGGCAUGGGAACGCUUAACAUGCAUUUCUCCACAACUUCAAUCAUUGACUAAUGAAGAAGUUGAAUAAGGCAUUGGUUUCCCACUCGGGAAAAGGUAUGUUAUUUUUUUAUUAAUUUUCGAGACAAGAAAACAAAGUUCAACUCAAGUUAUCUUAAUUGUAAAUUUCUUUAUAUUCCUUGUUUACGUUAGGUGGACUUGAAGGAAGGAUGUAUAGGACGCACACAGGAGGAAUCAUUGUUCCCCAAAUACAGGCAAUGUUUGAUGGCAUUAAAUCUAGAGAGGUUGUAAUCAAUAUAUAAACUAACAUACCAUGUUAACUGAAAAUUUCAUAUUUUACUGAUGUUUCAAACAUUUAUUUAUAGUUUCUUUGGACUCCAUAUCGAGUGGAUUAUGUUAGGCACUUGAUCAUUAUUGAGAUUUCCCCAAUUGCACGGGCGGUAGUUCCUCUCGUAUGUUUCACAACAAUUGAAUAUUAUCAGGUUGGUAGGGUUAUACAUCAAUUUGGAUUUUGACAGAGUAUUCUAAGUGACCCAUUGAACCUUGAUCAACUUCACAAAGAGGAUAUGAGAGGACAGACUGAUCAAUAUUGGCCACAUUAUCAUGCCACAUGGAUAACUAUGUGGAAUGACCGUCAUAAUCGUCUAAUUCAGGAAAAUCAUUUUAACAAAAAUGACCAUUUGCAUGACAAGUCAACAUACAUGAAAUGGUACAUCAAUCGUACUAUCCGCUACAUCUCGCCUAUAUAGUCACCGUCCGAUGACGAUAUAUGUUCAAUUACAAAAUCAUUUAUUAUUCUUUAUUGACUAAUCCAAAAUUAACACAUAUUUUCAAAAGAAUGUGAUAUGCCAUGGGAGACUACACAACCUCACUAUCAACAUCAUGUAGAAUCUUCUUCUCAAGUUGAAUCGUUUCAACAAACAUCUUUUCAUCUGUCAGGUGUUCACCCGACUCAGUUGUUCGAUGAUAAGUGUUAAAUUUCAAUAAUAUUUAAUGUUAAAAUACAGACACUUACGAGUAUUAAUUGCUAAAAUAAUUAUAAAAUAACCCCUAACUUGUGAAUUUAUACCUUUUUACAUAUUUUGUGAUUUUAAUUUGAAUAAGAACAUUUUAUUCUCAAAUUUGUGUCAAUUUCAGGUUUCUAAGGGAGAAUGAAGAUGACUAGACAAAAGGAGAAUUAUAUAAGCUAAAAAGGAAAAGUUGGAAGGCCCCGAAACGCACAAGCUCACAGAAAGCCCAAGUCAGCAUCAUAGCAUCUCACUCCAACAACAUUGGACAAAAUUGACGUUUUACUCGCUCAAGCAAGUAAAUCUUGCUUGAGUGAGAAUCCAUUUAAGCCUAAACAAAUUAGGUUAAAUAAGGGGCUUGAGGGACAACCCUAGUGUGCAAGAUUGAGAGAAAAACACCAUUGAGUGACUUGUGAUUCAAUUGGGAGAAUAAGAGGUGUGAGAAACAUUAGAGUAGGCAGCUGUUAAGGAGAAACAUCUUAGAUCUUCUUUUCAUGUCAUCCUUGCGUGUAAUAGUCAUCAUGAGUGGCUAAUUCUACCCUUUGGGAUUGAGAAUAAUCUGUUCAAAUUCUUAUGUAUUGAGGUGA